rnacentral:rRNA from 1 species
AUUGAACGCUGGCGGAAUGCUUUACACAUGCAAGUCGAACGGUAGAGGGGGCAACCCCUUGAGAGUGGCGAACGGGUGAGUAAUAUAUCGGAACGUGCCCAGUCGUGGGGAUAACGUAGCGAAAGUUACGCUAAUACCGCAUACGAUCUAAGGAUGAAAGCGGGGGAUCGCAAGACCUCGCGCGAUUGGAGCGGCCGAUAUCAGAUUAGGUAGUUGGUGAGGUAAAGGCUCACCAAGCCAACGAUCUGUAGCUGGUCUGAGAGGACGACCAGCCACACUGGAACUGAGACACGGUCCAGACUCCUACGGGAGGCAGCAGCGGGGAAUUUUGGACAAUGGGCGCAAGCCUGAUCCAGCAAUGCCGCGUGCAGGGAUGAAGGGCCUUCGGGUUGUAAACGUGCUUUGUACGGUAACGAAACGGUAGAGCUCUAAUACAGUUUGCUAAUGACGGUACCGUAAGAAUAAG